AACGAACGCUGGCGGCAUGCCUAACACAUGCAAGUCGAACGAUGCCUUCGGGCAUAGUGGCGCACGGGUGCGUAACGCGUGGGAAUCUGCCUUUCGGCUCGGAAUAACUCAGGGAAACUUGAGCUAAUACCGGAUAACGUCGCAAGACCAAAGAUUUAUCACCGAAAGAUGAGCCCGCGUAGGAUUAGCUAGUUGGUGAGGUAAAGGCUCACCAAGGCGACGAUCCUUAGCUGGUCUGAGAGGAUGAUCAGCCACACUGGGACUGAGACACGGCCCAGACUCCUACGGGAGGCAGCAGUGGGGAAUAUUGGACAAUGGGCGAAAGCCUGAUCCAGCAAUGCCGCGUGAGUGAUGAAGGCCUUAGGGUUGUAAAGCUCUUUUACCCGGGAAGAUAAUGACGGUACCGGGAGAAUAAGCCCCGGCUAACUCCGUG
rnacentral:rRNA from 1 species